rnacentral:lncRNA from 1 species
AUCACUGGUUAUCGACUUCUUUGUCAUUAUUAUGUCUUGGAAUUCGAAGUGUUGUUUGAUAUGACUCUUUCAAAUAAUUGCUGUUUCUUGUGCUCAGAGUUAAACUUUUGGUAUUGUUGUUUAUUUGUCAGCUGCAGAGAGAGCUGUAAAUGUUUUUACUAGGGUGGUGGUAAGAUCAUCAAUUUAUCACUAUGAUAAACUCAAGCAUCUUGCCUAAGAGAAAUUUUGCACUUCCUGGGUAACUAGUGCGCGCUGGCCAAUACAGGGAAAAAUGCAAGGCGUGCUUUCUUUUCUUUUCUUCUUUUUUUUAUAAAUGUAUAGAUCUUGUAUUUUGAUACUUUUGUUUCAAUCAGUGUUUUCUCACCCUAGAAGAUAUGCCUCUUUUAUGUUUUUACCAUUUUUGUCUACCCCCAAUUUUUUUUUUUUCCAAGAUGUACCUAAUAACAAUGUUUGAUCCUGUACAGUUUCAGCUAGAACAAAAUAUGUGUGCAAUAAUUUGAUUAUGAUCAGUACAUUCUUGCCAAGGGAGG